rnacentral:rRNA from 1 species
AGUGGGGAAUAUUGGACAAUGGGCGCAAGCCUGAUCCAGCAAUGCCGCGUGUGUGAAGAAGGCCUGAGGGUUGUAAAGCACUUUUAUUUGGGAAGAAAAGCUCGGGGCUAAUAUCUUCGAGUAUUGACGGUACCAUCUGAAUAAGCACCGGCUAACUCCGUGCCAGCAGCCGCGGUAAUACGGAGGGUGCAAGCGUUAAUCGGAAUUACUGGGCGUAAAGCGUGUGUAGGUGGUUCGUUAAGUCGGAUGUGAAAGCCCCGGGCUCAACCUGGGAACUGCAUUCGAUACUGACGGACUAGAGUUUAGCAGAGGAAAGCGGAAUUCCGGGUGUAGCGGUGAAAUGCGUAGAUAUCCGGAGGAACACCAGUGGCGAAGGCGGCUUUCUGGGUUAAAACUGACACUGAGGCACGAAAGCGUGGGUAGCAAACAGGAUUAGAUACCCUGGUAGUCCACGCCGUAAACGAUGGAUACUAGCUGUUCGUGUCGCGCGAGCGAUGUGAGUGGCUAAGCGAAAGUGAUAAGUAUCCCACCUGGGGAGUACGGCCGCAAGGCUG